GGGGUUGUUGCUCAGUGGUAGAGCACUCUCCUCGCACGUGAGAGACCCUGGGUUCCAUCCUCAGCACCA
rfam:Ictidomys tridecemlineatus contig069816, whole genome shotgun sequence.